rnacentral:rRNA from 1 species
UACGUAGGGGGCAAGCGUUGUCCGGAUUUAUUGGGCGUAAAGCGCUCGCAGGCGGUUCGUUGCGUCGUGCGUGAAAGACCCCGGCUCAACUGGGGAGGGUCGUGCGAUACGGGCGAACUGGAGGCCAGUAGGGGGAUGCGGAAUUCCUGGUGUAGCGGUGAAAUGCGCAGAUAUCAGGAGGAACACCGGUGGCGAAGGCGGGUCUCUGGGCCGAUACUGACGCUGAGGAGCGAAAGCGUGGGGAGCGAACAGG